AACGAACGCUGGCGGCAUGCCUAACACAUGCAAGUCGAACGAGAACUCCGUGUGUAGUGGCUCACGCGUGCGUAACGCGUGGGAACCUGCCCUUAGGUUUGGCAUAACUCUCCGACGGGGGUGCUAAGAUCGGUAAACUUCUGCGUACCAAAGAUGUAUCGCUCUUGUAUGGGGCCGCGUUCGGUUAACUAUUUGGUAGGGUAAAAGCCUAUGAAGGCUAAGAUACAUAGCUGGCAUGAGAGGAUGAUCAGAGACACUGGGACUAGGACACGGCCCAGACUGGUACGGGAGGCAGGAGUGGGGAAUAUUGGCCAAUGGGGGAGAGUGUGAUCCAGCGAUGGUGGGUGAGUGAUGCUGGUGUUAGAGUUGAAAAGCACGUUUACCCGGGACUAUAAUGACGGUACCGGAAGAAUAAGCACCGGCUAACUCCGUG
rnacentral:rRNA from 1 species